UGGGGAAUCUUCCGCAAUGGGCGAAAGCCUGACGGAGCAAUGCCGCGUGAGUGAUGAAGGAAUUCGUUCCGUAAAGCUCUUUUGUUUAUGACGAAUGUGCAGAUUGUAAAUAAUGAUCUGUAAUGACGGUAGUAAACGAAUAAGCCACGGCUAACUACGUGCCAGCAGCCGCGGUAAUACGUAGGUGGCGAGCGUUGUCCGGAAUUAUUGGGCGUAAAGAGCAUGUAGGCGGUUUUUUAAGUCUGGAGUGAAAAUGCGGGGCUCAACCCCGUAUGGCUCUGGAUACUGGAAGACUUGAGUGCAGGAGAGGAAAGGGGAAUUCCCAGUGUAGCGGUGAAAUGCGUAGAUAUUGGGAGGAACACCAGUGGCGAAGGCGCCUUUCUGGACUGUGUCUGACGCU
rnacentral:rRNA from 1 species